AGCUGACUCGCCAGCCACUUCCGUAGUUUUGACAGUACGAAGAAAUGAAGAGACAGAGAGAAGAAAAGAUACAACAACAUGGAGAUCGGGGCGCAAACGCCAGCCAACUCAACAGAGAAACACAAUUACAUCUUUCUCAACGCAAGUUGUUGAUAUUAACAUAAAUUAGAGUGCUCGAGAAGAAAGGAGCGCAGUAGAGGAAAUAAUGAAGUUAAAACAUUCUCCGAAGAUUGGGGUUAAUGGGAUGUUGGUAGUUUAAACUGUCUUGAAGCAUGCUCUUUCAGGAGUCUGGUGAUUUCUGAAGUGGUCUCCUAUUAUAAUGGAUUGUAGGUAACAUGCACAGUCCUUUUUUUUACUUUUGAAUUUGACCUUUCAUUCAUAAGAUAUUGGCUGUUGCUGCAGGAGCAUAAAAGUUUAUGCAUCACAGUCAUGCUCAAAGGGCAUUUUGCUUGUUCUGAAGUUUUGUCCUUUCUAGAUUAGAUUUAAGAUGGUAUCAGUUGUCUUCUUUUGCAGUUUACUGUUGAGUAUUGGUAUUUGUCUAUUACUUGUGGAAGUCUCUUGGAGUUAAAUUUUUUGUUUUCACCGAGUCUAUGCAUGCAUGUAUGAUGUAGAAUCAGGAAAGUGAGAGGAUCGAGAGAAACAAAAAAUUACUAAUAAUUCCUAAAUAAUAAAAAAAUUAGACUUUCUAAUUCUAUGAUGAACUUCCUAAUUAAAUUUUGAAUUAGGAUGAACAUAUAUAAUUCCUAGGUAAAUUUUGAAUCUUCCCCAUGUUCUUCCUGUUUUGUGUAUGUGGCUGUAUGCUCAUGUAAUAUAUAUCAAGGUAACUAGACCUCCUUUUUUUUUUUUUUUUCUUUUUUGGAAUUGAGAAAAACUAGUUCCAUAAUUGAAAGAAACUAAAAAAAUCGAUCUUAAAAGAAAGAUAAAAUUAAAGCAACUCGGAAAACAAUAUUGAAAUCUAGCGAAUGUGGCUUGUUGAAAGUUUUCGAAAGAGCAUGUUUAAGGGUAACAUUUUCUUUUAAACUCCAAGAGUUUGCAAUAUCUAUGUUAUUAAUAUAUUGAGUGAAAUCAUAAUUAACCACAGCCGAAAUGUGAAACCUAAGUUCCAGAAGUUUCCGCCAAACCGUUUUCUUUACGAGAGUUUUUUCUCCUCUUCAUUUUGCGGAGUUUCGUCAGCCGUCUUCUCUGUGCUCUAUGUAAACAAGGGGCGGCCUUUAUUCACUUGCUCGAAGAGUAAGUUCUCCUCGCAAAUUAGAGCAGGUUGUAAAUAAUGUUUGUUUAUGUUGUUUUGGGCCAGGUAGAGCUUGAAAUCUUGGGUGAGCAACUCCGCUUAAGGCUCUGCAUGUGGUUUACGUGGUAUUUUUCUAGUUCCUUUGGAAGUUGAACUCUCGAGAUAUGUCGGCCUAAACAUCUUUGGGAACGUUUACAGCGUCAACGAGCUAGCUUUUAGCAUCUGGCUUCAAUGCCCAUAAGAAAAUGAGAUGGCUAGGAACUUAGUCUAGGGACAGCUGAGUUUUAUCUCCCUCCUUCUUGAAGAGCUACAUCAAGAGUUUGGGAUGAUGGAUUUUAGGUGGAGUUGCUCUUUCUUUACUAAUUUCGUUCCCGGAAUAGAUCCUCCUUUGUUUAACUGUUUUAGAUCGUCGGCUAUGGCAGUAGGACUGCGUUGCAAUUGUGUUCUAAAAGCUUUCUUCUUAGGUUGGAGCCCAAUUAGCCUAGGGUUGGACAUGUAUGGGACUAUUAUAUUUGGGCCUUAAUGUGUUUUAGUGGAUAUAUUUAUGUAGGAUUCCGGAGCAUUUAAAACAAUAAUGCG